GGAUGUGGGUCAGUGAGGAGGAUGUAGGGUCAGUGUGGAGGAUGUAGGGUCAGUGAGGAGGAUGUAGGGUCCGUGAGGAGGAUGUAGGGUCAGUGUGGAGGAUGGUAGGGUCAGUGAGGAGGAUGUAGGUCAGUGAGGAGGAUGUAGGGUCAGUGUGUGGAGGAUGUAGGGUCAGUGUGUGGAGGAUGUAGGGUCAGUGAGGAGGAUGUAGGGUCAGUGUGGAGGAUGUAGGGUCAGUGUGUGAGGAUGUAGGGUCAGUGAGGAGGAUGUAGGGUCAGUGUGGAGGAUGUAGGGUCAGUGAGGAGGAUGUAGGGUCAGUGUGGAGGAUGUAGGGUCAGUGUGUGGAGGAGGAUGUAGGGUCAGUGUGGAGGAUGUAGGGUCAGUGUGGGAGGAUGUAGGGUCAGUGUGGAGGAUGUAGGGUCAGUGUGGAGGAUGUAGGGUCAGUGUGGAGGAUGUAGGGUCAGUGAGGAGGAUGUAGGGUCAGUGUGGAGGAUGUAGGGUCAGUGAGGAGGAGUGUAGGGUCAGUGAGGAGGAUGUAGGGUCAGUGUGGAGGAUGUAGGGUCAGUGAGGAGGAUUUAGGGUCAGUGAGGAGGUGUAGGUCAGUGUGGAGGAUGUAGGGUCAGUGAGAGGAUGUAGGGUCAGUGAGGAGGAUGUAGGGUCAGUGAGGAGGAUGUAGGGUCAGUGUGUGGAGGAGGAUGUAGGGUCAGUGUGGGAGGAUGUAGGGUCAGUGUGGAGGAUGUAGGGUCAGUGUGUGAGGAGGAUGUAGGGUCAGUGUGGAGGAUGUAGGGUCAGUGUGGAGGAUGUAGGGUCAGUGUGGAGGAUGUAGGUCAGUGAGGAGGAUGUAGGGUCAGUGAGGAGAUGUAGGUCAGGUGGAGGAUGUAGGGUCAGUGUGGAGGAUGUAGGGUCAGUGAGGAGGAUGUAGGGUCAGUGUGGAGGAUGUAGGGUCAGUGUGGAGGAUGUAGGGUCAGUGAGGAGGAUGUAGGGUCAGUGAGGAGGAUGUAGGGUCAGUGUGGAGGAUGUAGGGUCAGUGUGGAGGAUGUAGGGUCAGUGAGGAGGAUGUAGGGUCAGUGUGGGAGGAUGUAGGGUCAGUGAGGAGGAUGUAGGGUCAGUGUGUGGAGGAUGUAGGGUCAGUGAGGAGGAUGUAGGGUCAGUGAGGAGGAUGUAGGG
rnacentral:lncRNA from 1 species